GUCUCACCCUUAGAACUUGGUGGCAUGUAUCAUCCGUUCAAAAUUUCAAGAUUUUUAGGUUUUGGACUCUUUUAACUUAUAAAUGAUAAUAUUAUUAGGGACAAUGUCCCACAUCGGAAGUUGAGUACGAUUUUAAGUGAUAUAUAUAAGAUAUAGGUCUUUUCACCUAUUGCCAAUUGGUUUUAGGUUGGAAGCCCACACUCUAAUAUGGUAUCAGAGCCCGAUCCGCACAUACUCAACCCGAUCCACAUCGGUCCGGCCCAAUACUUGGCCCGCCGAUCUAUGCCCAAACAUAUCGAGAUCAAUGGCUAGAAGAGCCAUCAUCUCGAGGAGGCGUAUUAGGGACAAUGUCCCACAUCGGAAGUUGAGUAGGAUUUUAAAUGGUAUAUAUAAGAUAUGGGCCUCUCUACCUAUUGCCAAUUGGUUUUAGGUUGGAAGCGCUCACUCUAAUAAAUAUUACCUGCAUAAACUUUAUAUAGAACUGUCAAACAAUAUAAAAAACUAUCCAGAGACAAGUCUGGCCAUGCUAGACACGUUUUUUCCAUACGUGACAUAAACCAACCAAGAGCCGUCACGCCGUAAUUAUCAAUGUCACGUCUUAUCCACUAAAUAAGUAAAUACACAACGAUCGAUUAGU
rnacentral:sRNA from 1 species